CUUGAGCACAGGGCUGUACCUGCCUUGUUCAUCUGUUUCUUCAAGGCCCAGCCCACGUUGGACAAGGAGUGCAAUGGAAGAAAUGGGGACAGCAUCGAGCUUCUUCUCCAAUCCUGACCGGAUGAAGGCUGUGCGGGAUCACUGAUGCUUCAGCCGCCUUUCAGAAACAAAGGGCCCCCAGGAGACGGGGCUGGUGUGCCUUUGCGUCGGGCUCGUGGCAGCUUGGAGAGAGCAGUGGCCACACUAAACGCAGGAGAAACCUGGAAGAAGGAAUGAAGAGCCCCAGAGAAACGGGCGCCCUGGAGGGGCUCUGCUACACGCGAGGCCAGAAGCCUGCCAGGCGACCGGGCCCCGUGGGAAGGGCCAGAGGACAGCCACUUGCCAGAAUGUUUUGGAAUGCAGUGACACAGGGGCAUCGGCUUCACUGGAAGCUCAGGGGAGACGGGCAGCAGGGAGGCGAUGGCAUUACAGAAUGGGGU